rnacentral:lncRNA from 1 species
ACCGUAAAUGAUAUUUGUUAAAUUCAUUAAGUUCUGCUAUCUCCAAAAUUUGGUGCGACAAACAUAUUAUCAUUUGUGUAAUGUGAUAUCGACUUUAUAAGGCCCAAUUUUGGCCCGGGCCUAAAAAAUAAAAACUAUUCCAGUCCAUUUACAGCAAACUUAAACCCAAAAUUACAAUGGCCCGAACGACCCAAUAAAAAAAACCCUAGUGGCUCGACUGGCCCACAACUUAAACAAUUUCAGCCAAGAGCAAACCCUAAAGCGCUGCACGCCUCUGUCCAAUGCCCAGUGCCGCAUGUUCUGCCGCCUCUGCCACUCCUCACGCACGCCGUUACUCGCCUAUCACUGACCAUCAGCCUCUGACACCUGCAAGGCAGUAAACCACACGCAACAGCAGAACAGGCUAAACAACAAAACGACAAAAAAUAGAAAUUUAGGGGUUUUUAAAUCGGCUAUAAAGGCCAAAAUCUUAACAUUGUAUUCUUCGUCUGCCAUUUUUUUACGAAUUUCAGAAAUAGAAACAAAGGUUGCUGUCUUCUCCGAUUCUUUUUUUUUAAUUAUUUACUUAUUUUAUUUAUCAUUUUUUUAAAAAUCUGAUUUUAAAACUAGUACUAAAAGAAAGGACAAAAAGGGAAGGGAAACUCACUGGAGUUGGCCGUGACUGUGCUGCCAGAGGCUCUCUCCUCCAUCGUUGAGUCGGGUCUGCCAAGGUCGAGGGUCCCCCUUUUGUUUCACUCCUCGCGGGUUGAGAGAGCCUGGUUCUCAAGGACCCCACAAAAGGGGUUCAAUGGCCUUUCAUUUCCGGCGCCGACCUCUGGCUACGAGGUGGCGCGACGGAGACCUAAGAAGGUCGUCGGCCGAAUAUGAGGGAUGGGGGUUGAGAGAGACUUAGGGAGACUUUCAGUUUUUUUGAAAAAAAUAAGGGAUGAAUUUUUUUUUGUUGAUUUUUUGAGUGUUUAUAUGGUUUAAAAACGGCGUCGUUUUGGACCUUAGCAUCCAUGGCCAAAACAGCACCGUUUGGCAUAAAACCUAGGAGCCGAUCCGAGACCCGACCCGAAUACGGUCAGGAUCCGCGUGUUAUGCCUGGAGGGGCUAUUUGCGCGUUCAGCCCCUCCUCUUUUAUAGUUCAGUGCAAUCUGUCCCUUUUGUUUCUUUCAUUUUGGCCCAUAAAUUUUUUUCUGAUUUCAUUUUAAUCCUUGCUGAAGUGCUGCGUUUCAGAACUAGGGAAUAUUUCCCUGGAAGUCCCUUGCUCCUUCAGCGCAUUUUGUUUUAGUCCCGAGUCACCCUCUUUAAGUUAUUUUUAUUUGACCCCAAAUUUUAGUUUAGUUUCUAAUUUAAUCCUCUAUUUGUUGUUUUAGUUAUUUUAUCAUUAAAUUAAUUAUUUUGAUAUUAUUAAUACUAUUGUAUGGCAUCAUUGAUUUUGUAUUUUAAUUCAUUGUUAUUAUUAUUCACUCAUUUACAUCCUUAAUUCCAAAUUUUGUUAUAUAUUCAUACAUUUUCUAAUAUAUACAUAUAUACACGUGCAUUUCAUGAUUCAUU